rnacentral:rRNA from 1 species
AUACGGAGGGUGCGAGCGUUAAUCGGAAUUACUGGGCGUAAAGCGUGCGUAGGCGGUUGAUUUAGUCAGAUGUGAAAGCCCCGGGCUCAACCUGGGAACUGCAUUUGAAACUGGUAGGCUAGAGUAUGGUAGAGGGGGGUAGAAUUUCUGGUGUAGCGGUGAAAUGCGUAGAUAUCAGAAGGAAUACCGAUGGCGAAGGCAGCCCCCUGGACCAAUACUGACGCUGAGGUACGAAAGCGUGGGGAGCAAACAGGAUUAGAUACCCGGGUAGUCC